AAGGUGUGUGUUAUUGUAUGUAUGUUCAGUGCUAUGGUUUGCACUUUUCGCCCUCUGUGGUCUCUUGGGAAGCACAUAUCCAAGUGUGUGUGUGUGUGUGCGU